UACGUAGGGCGCAAGCGUUGUCCGGAAUUAUUGGGCGUAAAGAGCUCGUAGGCGGUUUGUCGCGUCUGCUGUGAAAACCUAAGGCUCAACCUUGGGCUUGCAGUGGGUACGGGCAGACUAGAGUGCGGUAGGGGUGACUGGAAUUCCUGGUGUAGCGGUGGAAUGCGCAGAUAUCAGGAGGAACACCGGUGGCGAAGGCGGGGUCUCUGGGCCGAUAACUGACAC
rnacentral:rRNA from 1 species